ACACUGAACAUUGAGCCUUGAUGUGUAGGAUAGGUGGGAGGCUUUGAAGUGUGGACGCCAGUCUGCAUGGAGCCGACCUUGAAAUACCACCCUUUAAUGUUUGAUGUUCUAACGUUGACCCGUAAUCCGGGUUGCGGACAGUGUCUGGUGGGUAGUUUGACUGGGGCGGUCUCCUCCUAAAGAGUAACGGAGGAGCACGAAGGUUGGCUAAUCCUGGUCGGACAUCAGGAGGUUAGUGCAAUGGCAUAAGCCAGCUUGACUGCGAGCGUGACGGCGCGAGCAGGUGCGAAAGCAGGUCAUAGUGAUCCGGUGGUUCUGAAUGGAAGGGCCAUCGCUCAACGGAUAAAAGGUACUCCGGGGAUAACAGGCUGAUACCGCCCAAGAGUUCAUAUCGACGGCGGUGUUUGGCACCUCGAUGUCGGCUCAUCACAUCCUGGGGCUGAAGUAGGUCCCAAGGGUAUGGCUGUUCGCCAUUUAAAGUGGUACGCGAGCUGGGUUUAGAACGUCGUGAGACAGUUCGGUCCCUAUCUGCCGUGGGCGCUGGAGAACUGAGGGGGGCUGCUCCUAGUACGAGAGGACCGGAGUGGACGCAUCACUGGUGUUCGGGUUGUCAUGCCAAUGGCACUGCCCGGUAGCUAAAUGCGGAAGAGAUAAGUGCUGAAAGCAUCUAAGCACGAAACUUGCCCCGAGAUGAGUUCUCCCUGACUCCUUGAGAGUCCUGAAGGAACGUUGAAGACGACGACGUUGAUAGGCCGGGUGUGUAAGCGCAGCGAUGCGUUGAGCUAACCGGUACUAAUGAACCGUGAGG
rnacentral:rRNA from 1 species